rnacentral:rRNA from 1 species
AUACGUAUGUCGCAAGCGUUAUCCGGAAUUAUUGGGCGUAAAGCGAGUCUAGGCGGCUUGUUAAGUCAGAUGUGAAAAUGCGGGGCUCAACUCCGUAUUGCGUUUGAAACUGGCAGGCUAGAGUACUGGAGAGGUGGGCGGAACUACAAGUGUAGAGGUGAAAUUCGUAGAUAUUUGUAGGAAUGCCGAUAGUGAAGACAGCUCACUGGACAGAUACUGACGCUAAAGCUCGAAAGCGUGGGGAGCGAACAGGAUUAGAAACCCCAGUAGUCC